rnacentral:rRNA from 1 species
ACGUGAAACUGCUCAGAGGUAAACGGGUGGGCCCUCGAAAUCCUGUGGCGAGAGGAUUCAGUCUGGAGCCGCGGAAGUGCAGAUCGGAAGACCAGAAUGGCUUCCCCUGAAGGGGGCCGUCCGGUCGCACUCAGCGCCGUAGCGUCCAGACGCAUUUGUCUCUCGUCCGAAGGACGCCGCAGCCGGUUGGGUAGCGCAAGCGUGACGGCCUGAGGGGCGGAUGAUGGCAGGUGGCCGGUGGCGUGAGUUCUUUGCGUCGCCGGUUGUUAGCCGAUACCGUCAGUGGCUCGUCACCCGACCGAGGUGUCACGAGGCCCUUAUGGGCCCCCACGCCUCCUUCCUUUGGGAAUGCGGGACAGAGUGCUGCAGGUGUGCUGACGCAGCCCGUUCGCACCCCGAAGGGGUGGUCGGGCGAGAUUGGCUGCCGAUAGCGGUGCCGGACCCGUAGGAGGUCGGAGGCUUGCGGCGAGUAGGUCGGUCACCCACCCGACCCGUCUUGAAACACGGACCAAGGAGUCUAACAUGUGCGCGAGUCAAUGGGUCUUGAAUAGGCCCAGGGGCGCAAUGAAAGCAAAGGUCGGCCUUACGCCGACCGAGUUGGGAUCCCCGGUUUCGGCCGGGGCGCACCAACGACCCGUCCUAUCCGGUUCGCCGGUUGGGCGGAGUGUGAGCGUACACGUUGGGACCCGAAAGAUGGUGAACUAUGCCCGGACAGGACGAGGCCA